rnacentral:rRNA from 1 species
AGCGAACGCUGGCGGCAGGCCUAACACAUGCAAGUCGAGCGCCCAGCAAUGGGAGCGGCAGACGGGAGAGUAACACGUGGGAACGUGCCCUUCAGUUCGGAACAACCAAGGGAAACUUUGGCUAAUACCGGAUACGUCCGAAAGGAGAAAGAUUUAUCGCUGAAGGAGCGGCCCGCGUCUGAUUAGCUAGUUGGUGAGGUAAUGGCUCACCAAGGCGACGAUCAGUAGCUGGUCUGAGAGGAUGAUCAGCCUCACUGGGACUGAGACACGGCCCAGACUCCUACGGGAGGCAGCAGUGGGGAAUAUUGGACAAUGGGCGCAAGCCUGAUCCAGCCAUGCCGCGUGGAUGAUGAAGGCCCUAGGGUUGUAAAGUCCUUUCGUUGGGGAAGAUAAUGACGGUACCCAAAGAAGAAGCCCCGGCUAACUUCGUGCCAGCAGCCGCGGU